UGCCUUGAGCUUGCCGCCAUUCUAGC
rnacentral:piRNA from 1 species